rnacentral:tRNA from 1 species
UAGACUAAAGCCCGCUGGCUACGGUGUUUAAUUGUYAAUUAAAGGUUUACGGGGUCGAAGCCCGUUAGUCU